rnacentral:rRNA from 1 species
GAUGAACGCUGGCGGCGUGCCUAAUACAUGCAAGUCGAGCGAACGGACGAGAAGCUUGCUUCUCUGAUGUUAGCGGCGGACGGGUGAGUAACACGUGGAUAACCUACCUAUAAGACUGGGAUAACUUCGGGAAACCGGAGCUAAUACCGGAUAAUAUUUUGAACCGCAUGGUUCAAAAGUGAAAGACGGUCUUGCUGUCACUUAUAGAUGGAUCCGCGCUGCAUUAGCUAGUUGGUAAGGUAACGGCUUACCAAGGCAACGAUGCAUAGCCGACCUGAGAGGGUGAUCGGCCACACUGGAACUGAGACACGGUCCAGACUCCUACGGGAGGCAGCAGUAGGGAAUCUUCCGCAAUGGGCGAAAGCCUGACGGAGCAACGCCGCGUGAGUGAUGAAGGUCUUCGGAUCGUAAAACUCUGUUAUUAGGGAAGAACAUAUGUGUAAGUAACUGUGCACAUCUUGACGGUACCUAAUCAGAAAGCCACGGCUAACUACGUGCCAGCAGCCGCGGUAAUACGUAGGUGGCAAGCGUUAUCCGGAAUUAUUGGGCGUAAAGCGCGCGUAGGCGGUUUUUUAAGUCUGAUGUGAAAGCCCACGGCUCAACCGUGGAGGGUCAUUGGAAACUGGAAAACUUGAGUGCAGAAGAGGAAAGUGGAAUUCCAUGUGUAGCGGUGAAAUGCGCAGAGAUAUGGAGGAACACCAGUGGCGAAGGCGACUUUCUGGUCUGUAACUGACGCUGAUGUGCGAAAGCGUGGGGAUCAAACAGGAUUAGAUACCCUGGUAGUCCACGCCGUAAACGAUGAGUGCUAAGUGUUAGGGGGUUUCCGCCCCUUAGUGCUGCAGCUAACGCAUUAAGCACUCCGCCUGGGGAGUACGACCGCAAGGUUGAAACUCAAAGGAAUUGACGGGGACCCGCACAAGCGGUGGAGCGUGUGGUUUAAUUCGAAGCAACGCGAAGAACCUUACCAAAUCUUGACAUCCUUUGACAACUCUAGAGAUAGAGCUUUCCCCUUCGGGGGACAAAGUGACAGGUGGUGCAUGGUUGUCGUCAGCUCGUGUCGUGAGAUGUUGGGUUAAGUCCCGCAACGAGCGCAACCCUUAAGCUUAGUUGCCAUCAUUAAGUUGGGCACUCUAAGUUGACUGCCGGUGACAAACCGGAGGAAGGUGGGGAUGACGUCAAAUCAUCAUGCCCCUUAUGAUUUGGGCUACACACGUGCUACAAUGGACAAUACAAAGGGCAGCGAAACCGCGAGGUCAAGCAAAUCCCAUAAAGUUGUUCUCAGUUCGGAUUGUAGUCUGCAACUCGACUACAUGAAGCUGGAAUCGCUAGUAAUCGUAGAUCAGCAUGCUACGGUGAAUACGUUCCCGGGUCU